UAUGUGCCUUGCGGAGUGACUUACGAGGUUUACAGCACAGGCAGCCCGAAGAUUUUUUUCCCUUCCCUCCAUGCUCCCAGUAGAUGGUUGGUUCAUUAACAAGAUGUGUUUGCUACAGGUUUUUCAAACCUUGCUUUGCUUUCUAGUGCAGCGGCACAAAGUGAUUCUCCUCCCCCUCCCAGAUUUUCCAGGCCUUGAAAACCUUGCUGUCUCGCUAAGUCACAGCCUGCCUGUUUACCCUAUGUACGUCCCCUUCCAGCAGGAUCAGAGCUCCUGUUGGUCACUCAACUUAACUCUGGGCAUCUUGCUGCUGAUACUGUUUAUUCUUUCACAAGUGCUGUCUAAGGAGACCCAGCACAUCCACAGGAGAUUCUUGGAGAGCCAGGCCUACUUACCAACAGUUAUUCCCAGGCAUGCAGGGUGCUAUUAGUUCCUAUGUCAAUCACAUCUUGUCUUUGCUUUCCAGCUAUCCACGUAAUGAAAGUAUUGACAAGCUAACGAAGGGUGAUGGAACAGCUCUUGUCAGAGGCCUUUCAUGAUUGCCUUGCCUUGAUGCUGGGAUGCUUAGGCCAGUAUUUUAGUCCUGAUAAACAGUGGAGCUUGACCUGCAGUUCAUAAUACCUCUGCCUUUCUACCCCAGGCCCCUACUGGGACCUGGCUUCUUAAGUCAGUAGCUCUGGGAAUUGAUUACUCAUACAGUGGCCAGUAUGCAUUGGGAACACCUUCACGUUAGCUGACAAAUCCCUGAGAAUGGACUCCUUUCUCUGCAGGACAAGAGAGAUGACAGCAGCCUCUGUCUAUCAGGUGAAGAUUACUCCACCAGUAGCCUCCUAUGUGUGUUUACUGUACAGAAAAAGGAGAACUGUGCCAAAUGAUUGAUAAGUCCCUUGCACCAAGGGGGGACACUGUGGAGCAGCGUGAUGGAGGAGUGGAGUGGUGGAUGGGGAGGGUAACUGGAAUGCUUCAUGGAAGAGGCAGGUUCCAUGGUGUCGAUGGGAAGGGGGUUUGCAUAAGUGCAUCUGGAGGCUGUUCAGGCAUAAAGGACAAAGUGGAAGAAGGUAUGAAGUCAGGAGUGGGCAAGUGAGACAAAGGAGGGAGGCUGAUGCAGAAUGAAGAGAGGGGAUCAGGUAGAAGGAGAUGAGGCUGCCAGAGAAAAAGGAUCACUGAUCCAGGCCUUCCCCCCCCAAUGAACAGCUGAGGAGCACUUCAAUGAGACACCAUCCACCAACCCGCCUCCCCGAGUGGAUGCACACAUGCUCCAGUGUCCAGCAGCAGCAGCAGCAGCACAGAUGCCAGGACAUCUCAGGAAGUGUGCCAACAUGGGAAGGAAUUAGGAGAGGGAAGUCCCCAAGUCGUCUUUGACUCCACCUCAGAUGACAAGCGAGCUGGGAUCUGUUCUCAAGACAGCAUAAAGUCAUGCGGGGCUCAGCAAGGUUGUCCAGAUGGCACCUUCUCUCGGGGGCCGUCUCAGCCUUGGCUGGAGAUGUGCUGUGACCCAAGGAGGUCACGAGCAGCGGUGCAGCCCAUCUGGGUGUGUGAUAGCCGAGAGAGGCAGUGGAUUGUGGGAAUGCUGGCGUCAGCACCACGAGGGCUUCCUGAGGCAGGGAAGCCAGCACUCAGCACUGUAGGAUCUGCUGCUCUGGAGCGGUGCCGCAUCACACUUGGGCAGCGCUGGAAUGCCCUGCUCAAAGCAACAGCCUGUGCGUCUCAUCCCAGGGGGUAAUCACACCAGCCUCCAGAUAUGCAGCAUGAUGUGGGCAGAUCCCUGCUAAAAGUCAGGUUUGGAGCCAUGUUAGGACUAGAGAGUUUUCUAUAGCACCCAUCAAGCUAGUAGCAUCGUUAUCUGAACAUGUCCCUGCAUUUAAACAGCUGAGGAGCUUGUGUCGUUCAGACCCAGAUCCACGCUGGCUCUUUAGGGAA